rnacentral:rRNA from 1 species
UACAGAGGGUGCAAACGUUGCUCGGAAUUACUGGGCGUAAAGCGCGUGUAGGCGGACUGGUAAGUCGGACGUGAAAUCCCUGGGCUCAACCCAGGAACUGCAUCCGAAACUAUCAGUCUGGAGUGGUGGAGAGGGAAGCAGAAUUCCUGGUGUAGAGGUGAAAUUCGUAGAUAUCAGGAGGAACACCGGUGGCGAAGGCGGCUUCCUGGACACUAACUGACGCUGAGACGCGAAAGCGUGGGGAGCAAACAGG